rnacentral:rRNA from 1 species
UACGUAGGUGGCGAGCGUUGUCCGGAUUUAUUGGGUUUAAAGGGUGCGUAGGCGGCCUUGUAAGUCAGUAGUGAAAUAUCCCGGCUUAACCGGGAGGGUGCUAUUGAUACUGUGAGGCUAGAGUACAGACGAGGUAGGCGGAAUUGACGGUGUAGCGGUGAAAUGCAUAGAUAUCGUCAAGAACACCGAUAGCGAAGGCAGCUUACCAGGCUGUAACUGACGCUGAGGCACGAAAGUGUGGGGAUCAAACAGG